rnacentral:siRNA from 1 species
UCCAAGCUCUCGCAUAGAUUGGAG